CUACUCAUCUCUUCAGCGAAGAACCCUAGCUCAUCGAAACACAGAAACCUAGCGUUCGUUUCAUCUUCAUCUUCAGCGAAAAGAACGCUAGCAUUGCCGGAAACAUGUUUUCAUCUCUUCAGCGCUCGUUUCAUCUUCAUCUUCAGCCAAAAGAACCCUAGCGUUUCCAGAAACAGGUUUUUCUUUCCGUUUAUCAUUAUCUGUUGUUUCAUUCUUUCCGUUCAUCUUCAUCAUCAGUUUUAUUUCCACUUUCAUUCAGAUUGUCCGUUGCUAUUUGAUUCAGAUUUCUUCUCACUCUCAACAGAAUCGGAUUUUUUUUCACUCUCAACAGAAUCGUACUUCUUCUCACUCUCAUCAGAAUCAGACUUCUUACUCUCAAUAGGUUCAAAGCAGGAAAUCGAAUAGUUCAAAGAAUACAAAUAGAAGAGCUUAAAGAAGAAAAUCGCUUUAGGUUCGAUUGACA